UGACCAAUCCCGCUUGCGGGGUCUUGGGCGCCGCCGCCUGGCGGGCCUCAAAAGCAGUGGCGGUACGGCCGGGCCCUGAGCGUAGUAAAUCUUCUCGCUACAGGGUCUCGGGCGGCACUGGCCAGCAACCCCCAAUCUUUCACA
rnacentral:misc_RNA from 1 species